rnacentral:rRNA from 1 species
CCUACGGGAGGCAGCAGUGGGGAAUAUUGGGCAAUGGGCGCAAGCCUGACCCAGCAACGCCGCGUGAAGGCAGAAGGCUUUCGGGUUGUAAACUUCUUUUCUCAGGGACGAAGAAAGUGACGGUACCUGAGGAAUAAGUCACGGCUAACUACGUGCCAGCAGCCGCGGUAAUACGUAGGUGGCAAGCGUUAUCCGGCUUUACUGGGUGUAAAGGGCGUGUAGGCGGGAGGGAAAGUCAGAUGUGAAAACCACGGGCUCAACCCGUGGCCUGUAUGUGAAACUGUGUUUCUUGAGUACUGGAGAGGCAGACGGAAUUCCGUGUGUAGCGGUGAAAUGCGUAGAUAUAAGGAGGAACACCAGUGGCGAAGGCGGACUGCUGGACAGUAACUGACGCUGAGGCGCGAAAGCGUGGGGAGCAAACAGGAUUAGAUACCCCAGUAGUC